rnacentral:rRNA from 1 species
GAGUUUGAUCAUGGCUCAGGAUGAACGCUAGCGGCAGGCCUAACACAUGCAAGUCGAGGGGUAUAUAAUGCUUGCAUUAUAGAGACCGGCGCACGGGUGAGUAACGCGUAUGGAAUCUGCCUUGUACAGGGGAAUAGCCCAGGGAAACUUGGAUUAAUGCCCCAUAGUAUUAUGAGACGGCAUUGUUUUAUAAUUAAAGAUUUAUCGGUACAAGAUGAUCAUGCGUCCCAUUAGCUUGUUGGUGUGGUAACGGCACACCAAGGCUACGAUGGGUAGGGGCCCUGAGAGGGGGAUCCCCCACACUGGUACUGAGACACGGACCAGACUCCUACGGGAGGCAGCAGUGAGGAAUAUUGGACAAUGGGCGAGAGCCUGAUCCAGCCAUGCCGCGUGCAGGAAGACUGCCCUAUGGGUUGUAAACUGCUUUUUUACGGGAAGAAACACCACUACGUGUAGUGGCUUGACGGUACCGUACGAAUAAGGACCGGCUAACUCCGUGCCAGCAGCCGCGGUAA